UGCAGAGUGGUACCAGGCAGGGAGUACUUCCUUGGAAGGAAUUUUAAAGCAGCCUGGGUUGGCAAAGGGCAUGCGAAGAACCAAUCACGCUUGAACGUGUGUGCACAGUGGGGAAGAAAACAAUACCACUUAAAGUGUUCUUUCGAUGUUCAACCCAACUUUCCCUUCGGAUUCUUGAGCCUGGAUACCCUUUAGAAGCACAUACAAAGCAAACUCCAGUCUUUGAGAGCAUCAAGACUCGGCUCUUUCAGCCCGGAUAUGACUGAUGCAGCUUGACAGGCUCCUCCACCUAGAGCAGCUGCGAAGUCCCAGGGACUGAGUAAUGUGAUUUGGGGCAGGUUUUUCUUCGGUGCCUUGCGAUGAGGAACCAGCUUAACAAGCAGUCAUGUCUGAGUUCUCACUUCACCGCAAACCUUGCUUGAGGACUUCAGAGCUUUAAAGGGCUCUGUUCCCAGAGGAGAAGCAGGAGAAGGCACCUAGAGCCCUGUUCUAUCACUAUUGAUAAUUUCAUCUCCAGGCCAAACACUGCCAACCAGGACCCACAGUGUGCAAACGGGAUCUCCAGCGUCCUGAGCAAAGCCAAGAUCUGAGCAGAAAGGCCCACCGAAGAAGAUUCCUUUUGAAGAUGAUCAAGGAGACAAAGGGAGAGAGAGAUUUGUGUUUCAACGCAAAAUGUUAUUCUUCUGCCAAGGAUUGCUGUAUCAUCACAUUAACAAUAAGAUAAACAAACGACAAAAAUUCACUGAGAACAAUAAGCGGUGGUAAUUGCAUAUUCUUGUCCCAGGUAUUUCCUUUUUGUUCUCAAUUAAAAAGCAUUCCCAGCAGUUGUGUAUGCUGUAUCAUUUGUUCACCUUAAAUAAAUACUUUUGAAUCUAAAAAUAUAAGCA
rnacentral:lncRNA from 1 species